rnacentral:rRNA from 1 species
UUGUGCCUACGGGACGCAGCAGUAGGGAAUCUUCCACAAUGGACGAAAGUCUGAUGGAGCAACGCCGCGUGAGUGAAGAAGGGUUUCGGCUCGUAAAGCUCUGUUGGUAGUGAAGAAAGAUAGAGGUAGUAACUGGCCUUUAUUUGACGGUAAUUACUUAGAAAGUCACGGCUAACUACGUGCCAGCAGCCGCGGGAAUACGUAGGUGGCAAGCGUUGUCCGGAUUUAUUGGG